UAUAAUGGGUCAGCGACUUAUAUUCAGUGGCAAGCUUAACCGUAUAGGGUAGGCGUAGCGAAAGCGAGUCUUAAUAGGGCGUUUAGUCGCUGGGUAUAGACCCGAAACCGGGCGAUCUAUCCAUGAGCAGGUUGAAGGUUAGGUAACACUGACUGGAGGACCGAACCCACUCCCGUUGAAAAGGUAGGGGAUGACUUGUGGAUCGGAGUGAAAGGCUAAUCAAGCUCGGAGAUAGCUGGUUCUCCUCGAAAGCUAUUUAGGUAGCGCCUCAUGUAUCACUCUGGGGGGUAGAGCACUGUUUCGGCUAGGGGGUCAUCCCGACUUACCAAACCGAUGCAAACUCCGAAUACCCAGAAGUGCCGAGCAUGGGAGACACACGGCGGGUGCUAACGUCCGUCGUGAAAAGGGAAACAACCCAGACCGCCAGCUAAGGUCCCAAAGUUGUGGUUAAGUGGUAAACGAUGUGGGAAGGCUUAGACAGCUAGGAGGUUGGCUUAGAAGCAGCCAUCCUUUAAAGAAAGCGUAAUAGCUCACUAGUCGAGUCGGCCUGCGCGGAAGAUGUAACGGGGCUCAAACCACACACCGAAGCUGCGGGUGUCACGUAAGUGACGCGGUAGAGGAGCGUUCUGUAAGCCUGUGAAGGUGAGUUGAGAAGCUUGCUGGAGGUAUCAGAAGUGCGAAUGCUGACAUGAGUAACGACAAUGGGUGUGAAAAACACCCACGCCGAAAGACCAAGGGUUCCUGCGCAACGUUAAUCGACGCAGGGUUAGUCGGUUCCUAAGGCGAGGCUGAAAAGCGUAGUCGAUGGGAAACAGGUUAAUAUUCCUGUACUUCUGGUUACUGCGAUGGAGGGACGGAGAAGGCUAGGCCAGCUUGGCGUUGGUUGUCCAAGUUUAAGGUGGUAGGCUGAAAUCUUAGGUAAAUCCGGGGUUUCAAGGCCGAGAGCUGAUGACGAGUCGUCUUUUAGAUGACGAAGUGGUUGAUGCCAUGCUUCCAAGAAAAGCUUCUAAGCUUCAGGUAACCAGGAACCGUACCCCAAACCGACACAGGUGGUCGGGUAGAGAAUACCAAGGCGCUUGAGAGAACUCGGGUGAAGGAACUAGGCAAAAUGGCACCGUAACUUCGGGAGAAGGUGCGCCGGCUAGGGUGAAGGAUUUACUCCGUAAGCUCUGGCUGGUCGAAGAUACCAGGCCGCUGCGACUGUUUAUUAAAAACACAGCACUCUGCAAACACGAAAGUGGACGUAUAGGGUGUGACGCCUGCCCGGUGCCGGAAGGUUAAUUGAUGGGGUUAGCGCAAGCGAAGCUCUUGAUCGAAGCCCCGGUAAACGGCGGCCGUAACUAUAACGGUCCUAAGGUAGCGAAAUUCCUUGUCGGGUAAGUUCCGACCUGCACGAAUGGCGUAACGAUGGCGGCGCUGUCUCCACCCGAGACUCAGUGAAAUUGAAAUCGCUGUGAAGAUGCAGUGUAUCCGCGGCUAGACGGAAAGACCCCGUGAACCUUUACUGUAGCUUUGCACUGGACUUUGAGCCUGCUUGUGUAGGAUAGGUGGGAGGCUUUGAAGCGUGGACGCCAGUUCGCGUGGAGCCAUCCUUGAAAUACCACCCUGGCAUGCUUGAGGUUCUAACUCUGGUCCGUGAUCCGGAUCGAGGACAGUGUAUGGUGGGCAGUUUGACUGGGGCGGUCUCCUCCUAAAGAGUAACGGAGGAGUACGAAGGUGCGCUCAGACCGGUCGGAAAUCGGUCGCAGAGUAUAAAGGCAAAAGCGCGCUUGACUGCGAGACAGACACGUCGAGCAGGUACGAAAGUAGGUCUUAGUGAUCCGGUGGUUCUGUAUGGAAGGGCCAUCGCUCAACGGAUAAAAGGUACUCCGGGGAUAACAGGCUGAUACCGCCCAAGAGUUCAUAUCGACGGCGGUGUUUGGCACCUCGAUGUCGGCUCAUCACAUCCUGGGGCUGAAGCCGGUCCCAAGGGUAUGGCUGUUCGCCAUUUAAAGUGGUACGCGAGCUGGGUUUAGAACGUCGUGAGACAGUUCGGUCCCUAUCUGCCGUGGACGUUUGAGAUUUGAGAGGGGCUGCUCCUAGUACGAGAGGACCGGAGUGGACGAACCUCUGGUGUUCCGGUUGUCACGCCAGUGGCAUUGCCGGGUAGCUAUGUUCGGAAAAGAUAACCGCUGAAAGCAUCUAAGCGGGAAACUUGCCUCAAGAUGAGAUCUCACUGGGAACUUGAUUCCCCUGAAGGGCCGUCGAAGACUACGACGUUGAUAGGCUGGGUGUGUAAGCGUUGUGAGGCGUUGAGCUAACCAGUACUAAUUGCCCGUGAGGCUUGACCAU
rnacentral:rRNA from 1 species